rnacentral:lncRNA from 1 species
AUGUCCCCCUUGGUGCUGUUCUCGUGAUAGUGAGUGAGUGCUCUCGAGAUCUGUUUGUUUAAAAGUGUGUGGCAUCUCCCUGCUGUCUGUCUCCCUCCUCCUCCAGCCAUGUAAGAUGGGGUUGCUUCCCCUUUGCCUUCCACCAGGAUUGUAAGUUUCCUGAAACCUCCCCAGAAGCCAUGCAGAUGUCAGCAUCAUGCUUCCUGUACAGCCAGUGAAACCGCGACCAUCCUAUUCUAUUUCCUGUGUAUUUUCUAUAUUGCAUGUCUUCUUCCAAAGUUGAGUAAGAAGCAAAGACGGGUGUGGGCAUGUGACUAGAGGGUCCUGAGGAGCAGAAGAUGAGUUGCAUGUGCUACGAUCGCCUGUUUGACUUGCAAAGCACAUGGCUCUCACUAACAUCAGUAGAAUCUGAAUCCAUGGAACAGAUCUUUGUCAAUUACUAUUGUUAUUAGUUUUCCUUUUUAUCUGAUAGUUCAGAUUCUGUACCCUCUUCAGGUUUCCAGAAGAUUUCUUUUCCUGUAAAUCUUGAUGAGAGGCAAAACUUGCUUCCCACUGUAGAAGUGGAAGGCUCAUUUCCCAGUCUCCCUUGCAGUUGGGGUUCAGAAUAUGACUGAGCU